rnacentral:rRNA from 2 species
UACGUAGGUCCCGAGCGUUGUCCGGAUUUAUUGGGCGUAAAGCGAGCGCAGGCGGUUUGAUAAGUCUGAAGUUAAAGGCUGUGGCUCAACCAUAGUUCGCUUUGGAAACUGUCAAACUUGAGUGCAGAAGGGGAGAGUGGAAUUCCAUGUGUAGCGGUGAAAUGCGUAGAUAUAUGGAGGAACACCGGUGGCGAAAGCGGCUCUCUGGUCUGUAACUGACGCUGAGGCUCGAAAGCGUGGGGAGCGAACA